ACGGGUGAGUAAUACAUCGGAACGUGCCCAAGAGUGGGGGAUAACGGAGCGAAAGCUUUGCUAAUACCGCAUACGAUCUACGGAUGAAAGCAGGGGACCGCAAGGCCUUGCGCUCAUGGAGCGGCCGAUGGCAGAUUAGGUAGUUGGUGGGAUAAAAGCUUACCAAGCCGACGACCUGUAGCUGGUCUGAGAGGACGACCAGCCACACUGGGACUGAGACACGGCCCAGACUCCUACGGGAGGCAGCAGUGGGGAAUUUUGGACAAUGGGCGCAAGCCUGAUCCAGCCAUGCCGCGUGCAGGAUGAAGGCCUUCGGGUUGUAAACUGCUUUUGUACGGAACGAAAAGCCUCUUUCUAAUAAAGAGGGGUCAUGACGGUACCGUAAGAAUAAGCACCGGCUAACUACGUGCCAGCAGCCGCGGUAAUACGUAGGGUGCGAGCGUUAAUCGGAAUUACUGGGCGUAAAGCGUGCGCAGGCGGUAAUGUAAGACAGAUGUGAAAUCCCCGGGCUCAACCUGGGAACUGCAUUUGUGACUGCAUUGCUGGAGUGCGGCAGAGGGGGAUGGAAUUCCGCGUGUAGCAGUGAA
rnacentral:rRNA from 1 species